rnacentral:lncRNA from 1 species
AGACUUUCAGACUCUGUGCUUCUGAGUAAAUCUGCCUUAAUCUUCAUGACUCUGCUUCUGAGUUGUUGAUGCAGUUGGGAGCUAUAACAAAAUUACGUUAUUUGGCUGGAUCACAUUAUUUUCCAUUUACUGUGGUAUUUUAUGACUGGAGAAACAUCAAUAUCUGCAACAUCGAGGACAUGAAGGACGAAGGAAUCUAUCCUAGCUUUAAC